rnacentral:rRNA from 1 species
CCUACGGGGGGCAGCAGUGGGGGAUAUUGGACAAUGGGGGGAACCCUGAUCCAGCGACGCCGCGUGAGUGAAGAAGUAUUUCGGUAUGUAAAGCUCUGUCAGCAGGGAAGAAAGCAAUGACGGUACCUGACCAAGAAGCCCCGGCUAACUACGUGCGAGCAGCCGCGGUAAUACGUAGGGGGCAAGCGUGAUCCGGAAUUACUGGGGUUAAAGGGAGCGGAGGCGGCUGUGCAAGUUUGGAGUGAAAGGCGGGGGCCCAACCCCCGUAGUGCUCUGGAAACUGUAUGGCUUGAGUGCAGGAAAGGUAAGCGGAAGUCCUAGUGUAGCGGUGAAAUGCGUAGAUAUUAGGAGGAACACCGGUGGCGAAGGCGGCUUACUGGACUGUAACUGACGUUGAGGCUCGAAGGCGUGGGGAGCAAACAGGAUUAGAUACCCCAGUAGUC